GACGAACGCUGGCGGCGUGCUUAACACAUGCAAGUCGAACGGGAGUAUUGAAGAAGCUUGCUUUAGAGAUACUUUAGUGGCGGACGGGUGAGUAACGCGUGAGGAGCUGUCCUAUGCAGGGGGACAACAGCUGGAAACGGCUGCUAAUACCCCAUAAGCCGAGAGGUAAAAGGAUCAAUCCGGCAGAGGAGGUACUCGCGUCCUAUCAGCUAGUAGGUGAGGUAACGGCUCACCUAGGCGAAGACGGGUAGCCGGCCUGAGAGGGCGAACGGCCACACUGGAACUGAGAUACGGUCCAGACUCCGUACGGGAGGCAGCAGUGGGGAAUAUUGGGCAAUGGGGGAAACCCUGACCCCAGCGACGCCGCGUGGGUGAAGAAAUCCUUCGGGAUGUAAAGCCCUGUUGUAUGGGAAGAGCGGAAGACGGUACCAUACGAGGAAGCCCCGGACAAACUACGUG
rnacentral:rRNA from 1 species